rnacentral:rRNA from 1 species
UACGUAGGGAGCAAGCGUUGUUCGGAUUUACUGGGCGUAAAGCGUGCGCAGGCGGUUUUGUAAGCCAGAUGUGAAAUCCCCGGGCUUAACCUGGGAAUGGCAUUUGGGACUGCAAGGCUGGAGUGUGGCAGAGGAGACUGGAAUUCCCGGUGUAGCAGUGAAAUGCGUAGAUAUCGGGAGGAAUACCGAUGGCGAAGGCAGGUCUCUGGGCUGACACUGACGCUCAUGCACGAAAGCGUGGGGAGCAAACAGG